rnacentral:rRNA from 1 species
GUGAGGAAUAUUGCACAAUGGGCGAAAGCCUGAUGCAGCAACGCCGCGUGCGGGAUGAAGGCCUUCGGGUCGUAAACCGCUUUUUAGGGGGACGAGUGAGGACGGUACCCCUGGAAUAAGUCUCGGCUAACUACGUGCCAGCAGCCGCGGUAAAACGUAGGAGGCUAGCGUUAUCCGGAUUCACUGGGCGUAAAGCGCGUGUAGGUGGCUCGCUAAGUCGAAUGUUAAAGCCCCCGGCUUAACUGGGGGAGGUCAUUCGAUACUGGCGGACUUGAGGGCAGUAGAGGAGAGUGGAAUUCCCGGUGUAGCGGUGGAAUGCGUAGAGAUCGGGAGGAACACCAGUGGCGAAGGCGGCUCUCUGGCCUGAUCCUGACACUGAGACGCGAAAGCGUGGGUAGCAAACGGGAUUAGAAACCCGUGUAGUCC